rnacentral:lncRNA from 1 species
CUGAGCACAUCUGCUCUGAGAGAAGAGAGGAAGCAUGAUGUGGAACCAUCAGAAAUAUGCUCUGACUUCACAAUGGGCCCAGCUCAGUCCCAUUUACUCUCAUUUUUAAGAAGUGGCAGCCUGAAGAACAGCACACGGAUGUUAAGUGGUGCCAGCCAAGAAUCCCCAUUGUAUAAAUUUACAUUGGAGAAGAAAGGAACAUUGUGGUUAGAAAUAAAUGAAUUAUUCGGAAGCAAGUAUCCUGGAGCAUGGAAGAUGGAGACACAAAAAAGACCAUUGAUGCUGUGCUUCCACUUUCCUCCAGAAGGACAUAAACCAGAACUUUACCUCACAGUAAAGAAGUUCCAACAAUAAACAGCAAAAGUCCUGUUCGCUGUGCUCACACAACCCAGCCAGACUCAUGGCAUGACGUAAAUGUGAACGGCCACAUUAAAGAUGUUGCU